GCUUAUAUAAAAAACACUGUCUUAUGUACAUCGUGUGUACACAAUAUUCCAACGCUCAAGUCAUAUGCGCUCUCAAAUUACUGCUAUUAUAACUUAUAAGGCUUCUAAAAAAAAUUGCUAUUAAAACGUAUAGGAGAAAAAAAACAUUAAUUAAAAAAAAAAAACCGCAUUUUAUCCUUUCCUGUUCUCUUCACUCUAAGCCUCAAGACCCUAAUUGAGCGAGACCAGCCUAAAUCAAUCACACGGCGGCGAUUACGGUGGUGGCGAUUUCCUUCAGAUGGCGGCCUUUCCUCCGCCCGACGGUUCUUCUUCUCAUGGCGAAAGAGAAUUUCAAGGUGAUGGCUUCCAUGUGCUCAAAACUACCCUUCAUUAGCAAUGCAAUUAAGAAAGCUACAGGCUGCAGUAAGUCCUCAGGGCCCUUUACUGAGCUUUUGUAGCGGUUGUGCCGACUGUGCAUACCCCUUCUCAGGUUCAAGAGAAAAGGAGUUGCGGAGAACAGAAAAAUGGAAUCUGAGCCUCUUACUGGAUAGUAUCAACCUCUUUUUCCCAUGUAGGUGACAUGUAAGGACACAAUUUUGCUUGUCUUAUCGUGGUCAGAAGCGACUAAAUGACAACGAAUAUCUCAGAAACAGUCAGAGAUUGUGAUGGAAUGAGAUUGGCAGUUUCCAAUUUAUGACCAAGAGUAGAUGGACAAAGUAAAAACUCACUGGAUCUAUUGGUUAUGUUUUUUCGUCAGCGCCUGAGUUCACGCUCCAUAUAGAUGCAGCUUGGCAGAAAAAAUUCAAAAGAGAAGGUUAUGGUUGGGUUGUGGCGGGUAGCAUAUCUCGUCUUCAUAUAGGAAUGGGGUGCUCUGAUUUUGGUUCUACAGAUUCCGCUACUCAUGCAGAGGCCUUUGCUUGUAGUGCUUGCCUUUCUUGGGCUUCAGCUAGAGGUUUUGCUAAUAUAGUCAUCUUCACGGAUUCUUUUAAUUUUGUUUCUAUGUUGCAAGGGAAAUCAUUGCAGGAUAUUGGGCUCAAGUGGACGAUUCAACAGCUUGUGAGCAAAGGUGGAGGUUUUCAAUCAUGUGUGAUUUUACAAGGUUGAUAGGGAGAUAAUUGCAGAUGCUCAUCAGAAAUCUCAGCUUGGCCUACAUCUAGUAAUUUCUUCUUCAAAUGUGUUAUAGCUUAGUUUAGUUUUCUGUUCAUUUCUUCUUAUGUCAAAAAAAAAAUAAA